rnacentral:lncRNA from 1 species
CUGGCCCAGGACUCAGGAGGCUUGGCUUUUAUUCUACAUUGGUGGGAGAUGUCCUGAUUCUAUGAUUUAGUUUUUCAUGUUAGAAAGAGCUGCCUGGGAGCCUGGCCAUGAAGCCAUGUCAGACAAGUUGCUAGGUGAGAUAUUUUUAAAGGAAGUCGUGCAGAUAGAAUAUCAUGAUUAAGUGAACCUGAAAAAUCAUAUAAUCACCCCUCAUCACCACCAACCUAAGCUUGUCUUUAUUUAGCACACUGAGCUCUGAGAAGCACAGAAUCAAUUAUAAUUCCAUAAACUCAGAAGUAAAAGUAUUUUGAGGUCUUUUGCUUACUAUUGAUAUA